GAAGCAGAUGCAAGAUGGUUAGUGAUCGGUAAGGUAAACACAACCAGGAUCUUCAGCUCAUCGGCGAUGUUUGAAAUCAUGAAAUCAAUUUGGGGUCUAGCGCAUGUACCCAAGUAUAGGGAGACAGGCGAGAAUCUUUAUAUCUUCCAGAUGUUCUGUUUUGGGGAUUGGAAGAAGGUUGUUCAUGGUGGACCUUGGCUGUUUCAUGGGAUGGGGAUGCUUAUCGAAGAUUACGAUGGGAAGCAGGAACCAACAUCCUAUGUUUUUGAUGGCCUAUAUGUUUGGGCUCAGAUACACAAUAUUCCGGAGUUAUACAGGAAACCAGAGGUAGUGGAUCAACUAGCAUGACGUAUCAGUCAAGUGAAGGAAACCUAGCUCUCUCCUAGGCUCUUCUACGAGGGGGAU
rnacentral:rRNA from 1 species